rnacentral:rRNA from 1 species
UACAGAGGGUGCGAGCGUUAAUCGGAAUUACUGGGCGUAAAGGGCGCGUAGGCGGCUUGACAAGUCACUUGUGAAAUCUCCGGGCUUAACUCGGAACGGCCAAGUGAAACUGUCAUGCUAGAGUGCAGAAGGGGCAAUCGGAAUUCUUGGUGUAGCGGUGAAAUGCGUAGAUAUCAAGAGGAACACCUGAGGUGAAGACGGGUUGCUGGGCUGACACUGACGCUGAGGCGCGAAAGCCAGGGGAGCAAACGGG